AAUUAAUCGACAAUGGCGAUAACAGAUGGACAGUCACCACCUCAAAAACCUAGAUUCCAGCUGUAUCUCUUCUCCUCUUCCUCAUCUCUCUUCAACAGAGUCCCACAUUGACGCUUAAAUCUUCACUCUUCUUUUCCUCUCUCUAAAAAAUUCACCGCACCAUGGUCGUGCAAUGGAGACAAGUGCUGUGUCUGUUGCCGCUAAUCCCCAUCGUCGUUCUGGUCAUAUUCGAGGACAGGGUUUCAAUCCCGUCCUGCGCGGUUGUCCCCGCCUUGGGGCAACAAUACGUGGAAGACGAUCACCCGGACGAUCUCAAGGUCAUGAUGGUUGCGAACCUGCUCCUUUUGGGCUCCGAAGCCGGCUACACCAACAUCCUCUUCAGGGACUAUUACUUGUCCAGGUUUUUCGCGAAAUCAUUUGAAAUCUUGAAGCCUGAUAUGCUGCUCAUAUUAGGAGAUGUUUCUGCUAGAGGAUCAAAGUUGACAAGAAGUAAGUGGCCAUCUGUCCUCCAGCAGUUUCGCAGGUUGUUAGGUCCUUUUCUUGGCCUUCCAUUUCACGUUAUUCUUGGGGAUAGGGAUAUUGGAGACUGUAGUGAUCUAAAUGUUGUAUCUGUUAAUUGGAUAGCUAGCAAUUUGCCCGGAUUGGACUCAGCCGGUUGUGGCGUGUUUGAAAUUGGUAACAUUAGCUUCGUCUCACUUAAUGCUAUGGCAUUGCUCUGUGGCCACAACAGUUUACGUUUCAGCGUUGAAAAAGUAAUAGAGAGAGAAAGCAUAGAUUUGCGAAUGGACGGAGAACAGCAAACAGAAGUGUUAGAUGGGUCUAGUGGAUUCAGAUUAAAGUCCGGAGACCUUGGGUGGAGAGAAAAUGUCAUUUCAUCUGGGUCUGGUCCUGUGCUCCUACUUCACUUUCCGCUGCACUGUACAGAAAACUGCAAUUUUUGGGGUACGAGUGCCGACUGUGGAACUUCUAAGCAUUCAUGCUCAAGUUCAACAGUACCAGAGUGUAGGGGAUCUGUUGGGGCUGGACCCUACGAUUUAUUGCACACUCUCUCUCCAAAUGCAACCGAGUACAUUUUUCAAGCACUUAAGCCAAGGAUGAUUUUCAGUGCACAUAGUCAUAAAUUCUGUGAUCGAACUCACUUGGAUGGGACCCGUGAGGUAACUGUUCCAGCCAUGUCAUGGGAUGCUAGGAAUGACCCUGCUUUUGUCGUUGCCACUUUCAAAAGGAAUGGCAGGAUUGCAAUUGUCCGCCAUUGCUCUCUUGCCAAGGAAUCCAAUGUACUAAUUGCUUAUUUGUCUCUUCUUCUUGUGUUUUCAUCCACUAUACUUCUCACGAAGUCAUCACAUGUAAUAUCUUCGGGAAGUUGAUACUUACGACCUCCACACAUUUUCAUCAAAACAAAAGCCAAAAAAUUAAAAGAAAUAACUGCAGGGAGGAACAAACGAGGAGAGCGAAGAGGAUAUGAAGGAAGCUCUGUAUAGCUAAAUUUGGCAUUGUAUUUGGAAGAUCUAAAACUCAGCAUCAAACUACAACAGCAAUCGGAUGCUUCCCAUCUCUAAGAAGCGGGUGAGGAUCCCCUUCAAUCAUAAUCAAAUCCACUUCAUUUAACUCUACUGAGGUGCUGAACAAGGAUUCCGCACAAAAUUCAUCCUUCCUCUUGCUUCUGACUUCAAACUCACACUAAGGAAAUCAUACGAACUGUUUCAUCGGACGCCCAUUUCUCAGCUUGGUUUGCCCUGCAGACAACCAUACGAGAAGCUUACAAUACAUAUACCCAUGACUUUUAACUCCAACUGUCCAACAGCAGCUGAAAAUUGUCUUCUCCCCGGUUUUUUCAUACAUUUUACUCCUGCAUGUCAAUAUUGAGGUACAUUUUAGUUUUGUAUUUGAGUUACCAUAUCGCUUUAAUGUCCUGUUUUGAAGUGGACCAUUUUUUUGUUAAAAAAGAGAGCACCAUUUUAGUUUCAAUAAUGAUUGAAAUUGAAUUUUA